CAAGUGUACAACAGGGCAGUAUUUAUUUGCUAUUAGUUGUAACAAGAGGAGACUGGGGAGUAUUUCAAAUGUUCAAAAAUAUGCUUUCUUGAAAAAACUUCCACGCUAACCAAUGCCUUGUUUUGUACAAAAAGUCCUCCAUUCUUUGUAUAAAUGGAAGACAAACACAGGAGGUGUUACUACAUCAGUUUAAUAAAAACUUAGGUAGCAAUGGAAGCUCGUUUCUAUGUUCUUGCUAUUGUGCUGGUCUUGGCAGUUUUUGCUCCCGCAGCAAUGACUUGUCAUGGCAGAGAUAUCUCCAUCCAUAAUUUCUACAAAAUAGAGAAUUCAAGAAUGGUCUUACAAAGACGUAUCCCAGAUGGUGAUUCUCCUUACUAUCGGAGGAGAGGAAGCACUGCCGCGACCAGGGUAUCACCUCCGGUGGCCAGCAGGGAAAAAGGUCAAGGGUUACCACCAAAUUCACCUCCUGGAGUCAUACACUGAGAUCAGCUUAUGUUGUGUUUUAUUCCUCCCCAUUUUGUAGUGUUUUCGUUGUAUCUAAGUUGAAUAACAUGGGGCCUCUGAGAUUUACCUCUAGUUUUUCUUCCUGAAUUUAUACUCCAUUUGUUGUUC